rnacentral:RNase_P_RNA from 2 species
AGAAGCUGAAGGGUUGACUCCGGUGUUACAUCGGAGAGGAAAGUCCGAACCACCUAAAGCACGGAACUUGAAUAGGUAAAGGUAGGUAAAGUCCGCCAAAAGCGGAUAAGCUUACGGCAAUGCUACAGAGACGAGAUUCCCGGUGCAAACCGAGAUGAAAUGAAACGAGCAUCCUUCCGGUGGAAAUCCUAAAUCGAGACGUUAUUAUCUGCUUUAGAGAGUCUCAGGUAAGGAGAAUAGAUUGAUAACCCAUAAACAAAAUUCGGCUUAUCAGUUUCU